rnacentral:lncRNA from 10 species
UUGAAUUUAUUGAAUUCUUUGUUCAGCACCUCAGAUGAUAGGAUUUUUCUCCUUUGACCUAUUGAUAUAAUGGGUUAAUUAAAAUAUUUCUUAAUAUUACACCAUGCUCUCAUGACUAGAAAACUACCAGGAUAUGAUGGAUUUUUAUAUACUGUGGAGGGUUAAUUAAAAUAUUUCCUAAUAUUACAUCAUGCUCUCAUGACUAGGAAACUACCAGGAUAUGAUAGAUUUUUAUAUACAGUUUAAUUUUAUGGACCCAAAUUUUAUUAAUAAAAAAUUAAAUAUAAGUUAAUAAGUGAGAGAGAUCCACAUCUUUCUUUGUGUGUAGUGAACUAUCUUUGCCAGGUUUUGGAAUCAGAGUUUAGACUUCCUUCAUUAAACAAAUUUGGAAGAUCUCUGUCUUUGCUUCUAGCUUCUAAACUUUUUUAUUGGCUUAGGGAUUUGUGAUUCUUGAAAAGAACUGAAAGAUCGUAUUCAACUCUCCUUGUACUUUUAUCAGUAAUUUUGGUUCCCAAUCCUAGUGGAAGAGUAACACCAUUUUUUCUGAUAAAGGCAUGGCUAUUCAAAAAUGUGUAGAGGGAGAGAGGUAUACAUAACAGCAGAUGGAUUUGUGAGACUGUGCCAGUCAACCACUUACUUAGUGCAUGACUUUCAGCAAGUUACCUAAUCUUUUAAGCUUUAGUGUCUUCAUCAGGGAAAUGGGAAUAUAGUCCCUUCCCUUGCAUUGUUUCCUCUAAAUUUUGUGAAGUACAAUUUAAAAAUUAUUACUUAAGCCAAUUAAUGUUCAAACAGUAGCAUUUGGAUCAAGAGUAAAAUGUGCACGUUAAUUUAUAAACAGUCACAACUAACAUUAACAAGUAAGUGGUAAUAACUGUUUUAGGAAUUGUAUGUAUUUUUGAGCAUUUAUUUAAUCUUGAAAUUAAACUUGGUAUUUCUACGUAUUUUUCUAUGUAGAAUUUAUAUAGAUUAUUUCUACAUAAAAUGCAUCACUUAUUCUUUAAUUUUCUCAAAAUAAUAUACAUACAUGAUCUUAAAAGUUCUUAAAGAAUAACACUAGCCUUUAAUGAAACCAGAAAUCAUUUGAAUCUAAAUCCAUACUCGCCCCCACUCCUGCUCUGGCUCCCUGAGAAAACUUCUUUCAACUAUUUUUUCUGCUUCUCAGGCAUUUACCAUGAUAUUUCUAAAUCAUAGGCUUAUAGUGAUUGUAGUAUAUUGCAAAAAUGGUCACAAGCGAGACUUCUGGUUUCAGCUCUUUCAUGUAAAGAAGCUGGAAAUUGUCACCCCACCCCCUUCUUCCAACAAGAAAAAGAUGAACAAACUGAAUCAAUGGCUUUAAAAAAAUACUUAUCAGAGAAAUGAGGCUGCAGGGUAAGCCACUACUCUGAAAGACAGAUCCAGGGCGUCACUUAAAUGGCAAAUUUGCUGAAUUGCUUCCGGCUGAAUGCGGACUAGCAUGAGAGUAAGGGGGCCUCUACAUGUUCAUGGUCUUUACCUUUAGGAAAAUGUUGCCUUGUCCAGGAAGUGAGGGGUGACGCCGUACACCCGGUGUCAGACAGCUGUGUGGCAACUCUUCACCCCACACCUGCUGCAGAAACUACGCAGCGCCGGUGUGUGUUGGGUCGGUGAUAAUGCUUUGAUGCUCUCUGCGCCCUGGAGGAGCGUGAAGCCGGAGGUUGCUAAGUGGAAGUGCAGGUGCUGCUGCUUCUUGCACAAACUGCAGUUGUAAUCCAGGAUUCACGGGCCUGUAGGGGCUCAGACUUCAAAUUGAACCGCGCCUCGGCGGCAGCCACAGGUGUAAUACACGAGGCCCAGGUACCAGAAGGUGUCCAGCAGGGCCUUGGCGGCGCCCUAGCAGCUGAGGUCCAGCCGCUGCGCGCCCAGGUUCAUCUCAUUAGUGGACGCCGCGGGCCCGCGAGUUCGGAGCAGCGCGUGUAUCUGUGGGUCUUUGGGGCUGGCCUCGCUAGCCUACCAGCUUCCUUUCGGUGAUGCUCUUUGCUACCGCCAGGCUCCUGACCCCAGCUUGGACAGCAGGCCGCCGAGCGCCCCUGACGCCCGUUACCGAGAUGGCUGCGCAGAAGGGUAACCCAGAAUGACAUCUAUGCCUUUCAUCUGUAAAAUAACAACAACAGUGGGCUCUGGGAACACAGACUAAGACUCCUUAACCACAGCCAUAGGAGUGGCUGUGGGGCUGUGAUCUCUCCUAGAACCUCAGAGGCAUGAAGCUAGAAUAUCUUCCCCUUCAAGGAGAAUAAGCCAAGAACACAAGAAGAUCAGAGGCUGUAAGGAGCUGCUAUAAGGCCUUCUCCCAGUCACUUCCCUCUCUCUCCUGAGAGGCUGUCUUGAAUGAAUUUCUCAUCACUUACCAGAUUCUGAUGAGGGUAUAUGAGACAAGGACCUGGGGAGUUGGCCUCUUUGGUUCAUUCUUUGUACUGUUUAUCUAUGGUUGUUGCGGCCUUUGUUGAUGACAUUCAGCAUUGACUUCUUGGGUAAGGUAUUCAGUAGUUAAGAUUCAAUGACUCCAGUGAAAGGUAUGUUUCCAUCGUGAUGUUCUUCUUCUGGACAAUAAGUGAAAAGAGCAUGUGAGUACCUCUCUCACUCCCAGCAAAUAAUUGUUGUGUCACCUCCACAUGUUUCUUCACGAUUCGAGGCUUUGAUUUCCCCUGCAAGACAAAAUGCAAUGAAGUGAUACAGAAAAAAAGAAAUUCUAUGCUGUCAUCACACUAGACCAUGAUGUUGAUUUAUGGAUGGUCUGCUUUCUUAUAUGCACUUAAUAUUUUUGUACAAGCAAACCUGAAAAGUGUCAAAAUCCCCUUUAACAGAUUAACAGGCUGAGAUGGGUUAAAGUGAGCAAGCCGGGAAGUGGUGGAGCUGGGAUCCACACCCUGGUCUGUCUGAGUCCAGAUGUAAUCAUCUUGCAUUCACUAUGGCAUGUUUCCCUUAUGUUAAGGGUUGCUGACAUAGACAGUGCAUGUCAUUCCUUUUGGUAUGGUCUUCCUCCUUUCUAGCUUUUUUCUGCCUGGAAGAUCCAGGCACCCAAGAGAAUGGAGCUUCCAUGUAAAUUUGCAGAAUCCCUAGGAUGAAAGCGGAGAGGAUCUACCCUGAAACCAACAAGUCUAGGAUGCACAUCUCUGCCUUUUUUUCAGAAUUAGGAAGGGGCAGGCAGAUGGGCAAUUGACAGGAAUAGUAGAAGCAUCCUCGGGGAAGUUGGCUACUUUACUUAGUGAGAAAGCAAUGGAAAGUGACAUUUGUAACUGAGUUUUAAGUGAAGUACAGUCCUAAGAGAGGAGCUCUGAAAAACAGCUGUUACCUGAGAUUGGGAAUGUUAAAGACCUUCUCAGAGCCUGACUGUACUCACAGCUGGACCUAGCUAUCAGAAGAGGGACUGCAACAUACCUGAGAAACUUUCAGAAUACUUAACGGAAGCAGAGUCAGGGGAAGUGAUUUUGAUAGUAGUCCAUGAGAAAAAAAUACGGUGUUUUAAAAUGCAAAUGAACUAAAAUUUAAAUCCUGCUCUCUCAGUAGCUAUGCAGCCUUAGGCGAGUUAAUAUCUUUGACCUUAGUAUUUCUCAGGUGUAAAGAGGGAUAAUUACCUACUCAGAACUUCACCUCUCCCAAGAAAGCUUUCCUGACCAUGUGCUGGCCCUUCCUUUACAUUGGGAUUAAAGUACCCCCCCCCGUUUUUCCAGGCUUUCUUGACUUUAAUUCUGUCAUAGCUCUAAUUAAGAACCUCUGUAAUGAUCUGUCUGCAAGCUUGUGAGAAAUUUGAGGACUGGGAACCAGCCUGAAACAUGUCUGUUCCCCUCUGAGUCAACACAGUGCCUGGGAUCUGGUGUCCAGUAGGGAUUUAAAGCAUAUUGAUUGAAUGAGAAAUGAUGACAGGAUCUACAUGGAUCACAAAGGAUAGUUGUUAUUUUACCUGUUAACUAUUUAAUAGCGAAAUUAAAUGAAAUAUGAAUUAACCUAGGACCAGGGAAGGUGGGGUAAGUUGUGUCUUUCACAUCAACCUUCAUAUGUUCCCCAAUUUUUUCUUCCUUCAUGUACCUAGGACACUCUUGUUCAAACACAAAGGUGGUUUUAUUUUGGGUCUAUACUAGCUAGUUCCCUAGAAAGGUCUUAAAUACAAAAUGAAUGGAAUACAAAAUAACCUCCCUCAUUGUUUUUUUUCCCGGACAAAUGACAGGAUGCAUACAGAACUGCUACUUUUGUGAUGUUGCAAGUAAUGGUAUAGAUGUGCACAAAUCAUGGAUGUGGUCCCAGUGAUCCAUGGAAAUGUGAAGUCCAGGCAGCCUCUUAUGGGGGUGGCUCCUGCCCACCUCUGCUGCUUAUGCUGCAGUUACUGGUGUUGCUUGGAAGCUGCCUCCAGGACGUCCUUCACCUUUCUGUUCUCCUCAAACCACUUUCUGGAGGGCCAGCCAGAAGGAUUUUGGAAUCAUCAUUCCAUCCCUCAACUCCUCCCUUCAGCUUCCCUUCAUUGUGCUGUGGAAGAAGAGCUCUUCGCUGAAUGCAGAGUGGAUGUUUCCAUAGAACAGCUGGCUCAUUUGACUCCGCAAGUCCUCCUACUUUACCUGUCGGUUUAUCAUCAGCUUCUCUUUGGAA